UUGGGAAUCACUCCUGAGGCUUGGGCACUUUGCAUGGUGACAGGAUUUGCUGAAUUCAUACCUGCUGAAGGACUGCUAAAGCACUCAGCAUCUUGAAAUGGUCUCAGAGGAUGAAUCUGUUCCACCCAAGCAGACCUUGAUGCAGCAUUGACUCAACUUCAACAUAAGUCACCAUACCUGGCAUACUUGCAGCUAUCAGAGGCAGAAUGGUCUUCUCCAUCCAGAGAUUUUGAAAAUGAAAUGGACAGGAAGUUGUAUGCAGGUGAAUAAUUUCUGUUUUAUGAGAGUACUGGGCAAGACAGGACUUUGAUUCAUGCCAAGGAUCCUUUUUGUGUUGAAGGAAGAAAAACUUGAGUUUGUAUUCAUGAAGGACAGAAAAACUUUGUCAGUAGUGGGAAAAAAAGAAAGAAAUUUGUUCUGAGAGUGAGGGAAGAAAUCUGCUUGGUUAUUUUCCCUAAUAUUAGCUUGUAACUUACAGCAUUGUUCUGAUGUAACUGAU